rnacentral:misc_RNA from 1 species
CUAAAGAUUCACGUCUUUGGUUCCAUCUCGUGCACUGUAUACCCUCUUCAGUACUUGUCGGUCUUGUGCUGUUGAGGCCCCUUUUUUACCCUUUUUUUACUUUAAUUUGAUAACUUCUGUUAGGUGGGGAAUAUAAUA